UUUACGAGGGAUGAAAGUAAACUGUUGUCCUUGCUAAAGAAAAGUGAACACGAUCAUUCCAAUGAACAUGAUAAGUUUGCCGUUGAUUAUGGUGGAAUCACAAGUUAUUUCCGCAAGCUUUGGGAUUCACCAUGCAAAACUAAAGAAACAAAUUCUCAAGCAGAAAAGGAAGACAAUAGCUGUGUCUGCAGUCGAGAACCUGAAACAUUGAAAUGUUCUGGCUGUUUUCAACAAUUCUUUGGUCGUGUUCGUUAUCAUUGUGAAUCCCAUCCUUAUCGUGAAUAUGUAUCAGAUUUGUUGUAUUGUCCUUAUUGUGGCAGUGAAUUAUGAGCGAUUGGACCAAUGAAAACGUUUUAAAAAUGUUUUUGAAUACUUUUUGAAUUAUAAUAUGUUUUUGAAUAAUAAAUUACUGUAAAAUAUGUAUACAUUGGAAUGAUUUUAAUAUUGAAUUUUCGAAAUAAAGUUGUGUUCAUUUUUGCAAA